rnacentral:rRNA from 1 species
GACGGAGGAUGCAAGCGUUAUCCGGAAUUAUUGGGCGUAAAGCGUUCGCAGGUGGCUGUUCAAGUCUGCUGUCAAAGACCGGGGCUUAACCCUAGAAAGGCAGUGGAAACUGGACGGCUGGAGUGCAGUAUGGGUAGAGGGAAUUCCCAGUGUAGCGGUGAAAUGCGUAGAGAUUGGGAAGAACACCGGUGGCGAAAGCGCUCUGCUGGACUGCAGCUGACACUGAGGGACGAAAGCUAGGGGAGCGAAAGGG